AACGAACGCUGGCGGCAUGCCUAACACAUGCAAGUCGAACGAGACCUUCGGGUCUAGUGGCGCACGGGUGCGUAACGCGUGGGAACCUGCCCUUAGGUUCGGAAUAACUCCCCGAAAGGGGUGCUAAUACCGGAUAAUGUCUUCGGACCAAAGAUUUAUCGCCUUUGGAUGGGCCCGCGUUGGAUUAGCUAGUUGGUAGGGUAAAAGCCUACCAAGGCGACGAUCCAUAGCUGGUCUGAGAGGAUGAUCAGCCACACUGGGACUGAGACACGGCCCAGACUACUACGGGAGGCAGCAGAGGGGAAUAUUGGACAAUGGGCGAAAGCCUGAUCCAGCAAUGCCGCGUGAGUGAUGAAGGCCUUAGGGUUGUAAAGCUCUUUUACCCGGGAUGAUAAUGACAGUACCGGGAGAAUAAGCACCGGCUAACUCCGUG
rnacentral:rRNA from 1 species